rnacentral:lncRNA from 1 species
GCUAUAAUACGUAAACAUUACAAAUGGCUGACAUGGUCAUUUUCAUUCUGUAUUAAAUAUCUAGUAUUUGUUCAAUUAUCUUAAAUCCACUAAUUAGCAGUGAACAAUCAUUAGCAGAGGUGAUAAAACUGCCAAAGGCAUUAGGUAUUUAACUUAAUCCUAUUGUCAGUUAAUUAGUGUUACACAAUCAUGUAACAAUUUCACCGGAAACGCCAGAAGGCAUGAAAUUUGUAAAAUGUAUCUUUUGAAAAGGCAGAGGGGGACAUUCUUUGGCUUUGGAGGGCAGAAGGGCGGGGGUAAGGGCACCAAGGG